AACCUCGAAGUACUCUGAGGCUUGUAGGAGGGUAAAAUAGAGACCCAGUAAAAUUGUAAUAAGCAGUGCUUGAAUUAUUUGGUUUCGGUUGUUUUCUAUUAGACUAUGGUGAGCUCAGGUGAUUGAUACCCCUGAUGCGAGUAAUACGGAUGUGUUUAGGAGUGGGACUUCUAGGGGAUUUAGCGGGGUGAUGCCUGUUGGGGGCCAGUGUCCCCCUAGUUGGGGGGUGGGAGCUAGGCUGGAGUGGUAAAAGGCUCAGAAAAAUCCUGCGAAGAAAAAAACUUCUGAGGUAAUAAAUAGGAUUAUCCCGUAUCGAAGGCCUUUCUGGACAGGUGGUGUGUGGUGGCCUUGGUAUGUGCUUUCUCGUGUUACAUCGCGCCAUCAUUGGUAUAUGGUUAGUGUGUUGGUUAGUAGGCCUAGUAUGAGGAGGGUUGUGGAGUGGAAGUGAAAUCACAUGGCUAGGCCGGAGGUCAUUAGGAGGGCUGAGAGGGCCCCUGUUAGGGGCCAUGGGCUGGGUUUUACUAUAUGAUAGGCAUGUGAUUGGUGGGUCAUUAUGUGUUGUCGUGCAGGUAGAGGCUUACUAGAAGUGUAAAAACGUAGGCUUGGAUUAAGGCGACAGCGAUUUCUAGGAUAGUCAGUAGAAUUAGAAUUGUGAAGAUGAUAAGUGUAGAGGGAAGGAUUAUGGAUGCGGUUGCUUGCGUGAGGAAAUACUUGAUGGCAGCUUCUGUGGAACGAGGGUUUAUUUUUUUGGUUAGAACUGGAAUAAAAGCUAGCAUGUUUAUUUCUAGGCCUACUCAGGUAAAAAAUCAGUGCGAGCUUAGCGCUGUGAUGAGUGUGCCUGCAAAGAUGGUAGAGUAGAUGACGGGUUGGGCCAGGGGAUUAAUUAGUACGGGAAGGAUAUAACCAACAUUUUCGGGGUAUGGGCCCGAUAGCUUAUUUAGCUGACCUUACUUUAGGAUGGGGUGUGAUAGGUGGCACGGAGAAUUUUGGAUUCUCAGGGAUGGGUUCGAUUCUCAUAGUCCUAGAAAUAAGGGGAUUUAAACUCCUAUUAUUUACUCUAUCAAAGUAACUCUUUUAUCAGACAUAUUUCUUAGGUUUGAGGGGGAAUGCUGGAGAUUGUAAUGGGUAUGGAGACAUAUCAUAUAAGUAAUGCUAGGGUGAGUGGUAGGAAGUUUUUUCAUAGGAGGUGUAUGAGUUGGUCGUAGCGGAAUCGGGGGUAUGCUGUUCGAAUUCAUAAGAACAGGGAGGUCAGAAGUAGGGUCUUGGUGACAAAAUAUGUUGUGUAGAGUUCAGGGGAGAGUGCGUUAUAUGUUGUUCCUAGGAAGAUUGUAGUGGUGAGGGUGUUUAUUAUAAUAAUGUUUGUGUAUUCGGCUAUGAAGAAUAGGGCGAAGGGGCCUGCGGCGUAUUCGAUGUUGAAGCCUGAGACUAGUUCGGACUCCCUUUGA
rnacentral:lncRNA from 1 species